UUAAUUACUAACUUGAAUGACCCCUUGUCACUCAAACCAGCUUUAUUAAGGAAGGUGAAAGCUUUUGAGAUUUCUGUUUAGGUUUAAAAUAACAUGCAUAGCAUCCCUGGAUGUUGUUGAGCACUUGUGACUGGGAACAGGGGAUGUCCGAUCUGUAUUGGAUUUAAUCCAUCAUUUGACCUAUAAGGCUCUACGUCUGUGGCAUGACAAAACUGCUAGACACCAGUCUGUUCCUGUCUGCAAACAUGAACAUAUUCAAUUAGUGCAAAGCAAAUCGUUUCUUCUCAGAGAUUCCUUUAUUUUUUCAUGUUGAUCUGUGAAAAUAGUUAAGUGGUUGCAUUCAUCUUCAUCACUGAUGAAGUUCCUUUAACACUGAGGUAACCUGUUUGGCGAUAGCAGUCUUAGUCACCCUGCUGUGAGAAAGAGAUGAAUAAUGUUUUUGAAUCUUACAUCUACUGACUCUCCUUUCAAAAUGGAUCUGCCACUACAGCAAGCAGCGACUGCAGGUUCACAUACUGAGUGUUUGGUUUUUCCUGUGCACUGUCCUGGAAACUUCAGGAGGUGGACUUGGAUGGAGAGAGCAGUUGUGUGGAAGUGGGGUUUGAUGUGUCUUAUCUCUCCUUCUGCUUCAUCAAUGACACAAGGUGAACAAUUGCUUCUCAUGAGAUUCCCACUAAAACAACAGGUCGAAGCUUCUACUUGUUAAAUGCAUUGGAACUAGAAGGAGGCCCAUGGCCCUUCUCUGGAGGCAGACCCUGACCUCUCCUCUACCAGGCUCUCGCAGGAUUUCAUACCCUGAGCUCCUGACAGACCACACUCGGUUGUAGCUGCUUGCUUGUCUUUUUUGCUACCAGUCAGGGCCUCUGAGGAAACAGAAUUACGUCUUUUCUGCUUUUCAUUGUACACCCAGCUCCAAACUGGUAUAUAGUAGGUGCUCAAAAUAUGUAUUAAUUGAAUUAAUAAGCCCAACCUUUCAUAUGUCAUUUCUGUCAUGUGGGAACUGAUCUGACUUUCACUCACUUCAGAGGACUCUUUCAUGUGAUUGUUAUUUCUCUUCAAUCUAUAAUCUACAGAUGAAGAACCAUUGUUGAUAGAAUCCUUCGAGAGAUCCUAUGAGCAAGAGACAUCAAGAUCAUGAUGGGGAAACCUACAGAGACAGCCAAACCAAACGAGUGGGAACUCACGAAAUUUAGAUCAAUACCUGUGGAGCCUCCACGGGACUGGACUAGGCCUUCUGCAUAAGCAAGACAGUUGUGUAGCUUGAUCUGCUUAAGGGCCUCCCCUCGCAGUAGGAUCAGGAUCCAUACCUGGUGCACUAGUUGGCUUUUUGGAGCCUACCAUCUAUGGUGGGACACCUCGUGCAGCCUUGAGGCAGAGGGAGGGGUUGGACUUGCCUCUACUGAAUGUACCAAGCUCUGCUGACUCCCCAUGGGAGGCCUUAC